GAUGAAGAACGCAGCGAAAUGCGAUAAGUAAUGUGAAUUGCAGAAUUCAGUGAAUCAUCGAAACUUUGAACGCACAUUGCGCCCGGUAGUAUUCUGCCGGGCAUGCCUGUUCGAGCGUCAUUUCAACCAUCAAGCCCCAGCGCUUGUGUUGGGGGCCUGCGGCUGCCGCAGCCCCCUAAAAGCAGUGGCGGGCUCGCUAUCACACCGAGUGCAGUAGUUCAUCUUCUCUCCGGUCUUGUGAGGCGGGUUCCGGCCGUGAAACACCCCACUACAUUCAAGGUUGACCUCGGAUCAGGUAGGAAUACCCGCUGAACUUAAGCAUAUCAAUAAGCGGAGGA
rnacentral:misc_RNA from 1 species